rnacentral:rRNA from 1 species
AUACGUAGGGGGCGAGCGUUGUCCGGAAUGAUUGGGCGUAAAGGGCGCGUAGGCGGCCCGGUAAGUCUGGAGUGAAAGUCCUGUUUUUAAGAUGGGAAUUGCUUUGGAUACUGUCGGGCUUGAGUGCAGGAGAGGCAAGUGGAAUUCCGAGUGUAGCGGUGAAAUGCGUAGAGAUUGGGAGGAACACCAGUGGCGAAGGCGACUUACUGGACUGUAACUGACGCUGAGGCGCGAAAGUGUGGGGAGCAAACAGGAUUAGAUACCCUGGUAGUCCACACUGUAAACGAUGAAUGCUAGGUGUAGGGGGUAUCGACCCCUUCUGUGCCGCAGUCAACACAAUAAGCAUUCCGCCUGGGGAGUACGGCCGCAAGGUUGAAACUCAAAUGAAUUGGCGGGG